rnacentral:rRNA from 1 species
GACGAACGCUGGCGGCGUGCUUAACACAUGCAAGUCGAACGGAAAGGCCCUGCUUUUGUGGGGUGCUCGAGUGGCGAACGGGUGAGUAACACGUGAGUAACCUGCCCUUGACUUUGGGAUAACUUCAGGAAACUGGGGCUAAUACCGGAUAGGAGCUCCUGCUGCAUGGUGGGGGUUGGAAAGUUUCGGCGGUUGGGGAUGGACUCGCGGCUUAUCAGCUUGUUGGUGGGGUAGUGGCUUACCGAGGCUUUGACGGGUAGCCGGCCUGAGAGGGUGACCGGCCACAUUGGGACUGAGAUACGGCCCAGACUCCUACGGGAGGCAGCAGUGGGGAAUAUUGCACAAUGGGCGGAAGCCUGAUGCAGCAACGCCGCGUGCGGGAUGACGGCCUUCGGGUUGUAAACCGCUUUCGCCUGUGACGAAGCGUGAGUGACGGUAAUGGGUAAAGAAGCACCGGCUAACUACGUGCCAGCAGCCGCGGUGAUACGUAGGGUGCGAGCGUUGUCCGGAUUUAUUGGGCGUAAAGGGCUCGUAGGUGGUUGAUCGCGUCGGAAGUGUAAUCUUGGGGCUUAACCCUGAGCGUGCUUUCGAUACGGGUUGACUUGAGGAAGGUAGGGGAGAAUGGAAUUCCUGGUGGAGCGGUGGAAUGCGCAGAUAUCAGGAGGAACACCAGUGGCGAAGGCGGUUCUCUGGGCCUUUCCUGACGCUGAGGAGCGAAAGCGUGGGGAGCGAACAGGCUUAGAUACCCUGGUAGUCCACGCUGUAAACGGUGGGUACUAGGUGUGGGGUCCAUUCCACGGGUUCCGUGCCGUAGCUAACGCUUUAAGUACCCCGCCUGGGGAGUACGGCCGCAAGGCUAAAACUCAAAGGAAUUGACGGGGCCCCGCACAAGCGGCGGAGCAUGCGGAUUAAUUCGAUGCAACGCGUAGAACCUUACCUGGGUUUGACAUGGAUCGGGAGUGCUCAGAGAUGGGUGUGCCUCUUUUGGGGUCGGUUCACAGGUGGUGCAUGCCUGUCGUCAGCUCGUGUCGUGAGAUGUUGGGUUAAGUCCCGCAACGAGCGCAACCCUUGUUCACUGUUGCCAGCACGUUAUGGUGGGGACUCAGUGGAGACCGCCGGGGUCAACUCGGAGGAAGGUGGGGAUGACGUCAAGUCAUCAUGCCCCUUAUGUCCAGGGCUUCACGCAUGCUACAAUGGCUGGUACAGAGAGUGGCGAGCCUGUGAGGGUGAGCGAAUCUCGGAAAGCCGGUCUCAGUUCGGAUUGGGGUCUGCAACUCGACCUCAUGAAGUCGGAGUCGCUAGUAAUCGCAGAUCAGCAACGCUGCGGUGAAUACGUUCCCGGG